UACGUAGGCAGCGAGCGUUGUUCGGAGUUACUGGGCGUAAAGAGUGCGUAGGCGGUUUCUAAGUUUGGUGUGAAAUCUCCCGGCUUAACUGGGAGGGUGCGCCGAAAACUGGAAGGCUUGAGUAUGGGAGAGGUAAGCGGAAUUCCUGGUGUAGCGGUGAAAUGCGUAGAUAUCAGGAGGAACACCUGUGGUGUAGACAGCUUACUGGACCACUUCUGACGCUGAGACACGAAAGCGUGGUAGCAAACAGG
rnacentral:rRNA from 1 species